AGUGGCAGACGGGUGAGUAACAUGUGGGUAUCUACCCUUUGGCCUGGAAUAACACGAGGAAACUUGUGCUAAUACCGGAUAAGUCUUUACGGAGAAAGCUUUAUGCACCAUUGGAUGAGCCCGCACUUGAUUAGUUUGUUGGUAGGGUAAUGGCCUACCAAGACUAUGAUCAAUAGCUGAUUUGAGAGGAUGAUCAGCCACAUUGGGACUGAGACACGGCCCAAACUCCUACGGGAGGCAGCAGUGGGGAAUCUUGCACAAUGGAGGAAACUCUGAUGCAGCGAUGCCGCGUGAGUGAAGAAGGCCUUUGGGUUGUAAAGCUCUUUCGUCGGGGAAGAAAAUGACUGUACCCGAAUAAGAAGGUCCGGCUAACUUCGUGCCAGCAGCCGCGGUAAUACGAAGGGACCUAGCGUAGUUCGGAAUUACUGGGCUUAAAGAGUUCGUAGGUGGUUGAAAAAGUUGGUGGUGAAAUCCCAGAGUUUAACUCUGGAACUGCCAUCAAAACUUUUCAGCUAGAGUAUGAUAGAGGAAAGCAGAAUUUCUAGUGUAGAGGUGAAAUUCGUAGAUAUUAGAAAGAAUACCAAUUGCGAAGGCAGCUUUCUGGAUCAUUACUGACACUGAGGAACGAAAGCAUGGGUAGCGGAGAGGAUUAGAUACCCUCGUAGUCCAUGCCGA
rnacentral:rRNA from 1 species